rnacentral:rRNA from 1 species
UACAGAGGUCCCAAGCGUUGUUCGGAUUUACUGGGCGUAAAGGGUGCGUAGGCGGUUGGGUAAGUCUGACGUGAAAUCUCCGGGCCUAACCCGGAAACUGCGUUGGAUACUACCUGACUAGAGGAAUGGAGGGGAGACUGGAAUACUUGGUGUAGCAGUGAAAUGCGUAGAUAUCAAGUGGAACACCAGUGGCGAAGGCGAGUCCCUGGACAUUUCCUGACGCUGAGGCACGAAAGUCAGGGGAGCAAACAGG